UGAAGAAGGCCUUCGGGUUGUAAAGCACUUUUGGCGGGAACGAAAAGGACUGUGCCAAUACCACGGUUCGAUGACGGUACCCGCAGAAUAAGCACCGGCUAACUACGUGCCAGCAGCCGCGGUAAUACGUAGGUCCCGAGCGUUGUCCGGAUUUAUUGGGCGUAAAGCGAGCGCAGGCGGUUAGAUAAGUCUGAAGUUAAAGGCUGUGGCUUAACCAUAGUACGCUUUGGAAACUGUUUAACUUGAGUGCAAGAGGGGAGAGUGGAAUUCCAUGUGUAGCGGUGAAAUGCGUAGAUAUAUGGAGGAACACCGGUGGCGAAAGCGGCUCUCUGGCUUGUAACUGACGCUGAGGCUCGAAAGCGUGGGGAGCAAACAGGAUUAGAUACCCUGG
rnacentral:rRNA from 1 species